UGCAAGUCGAACGGUGAAAGCGGAGCUUGCUCUGCUGGAUCAGUGGCGAACCCUUUUAAGCACGUGAGCAAUCUGCCCCUGACUCUGGGAUACCCUUUGGAAACGGCGUCUAAUACUGGAUACGAGCUGCGAAGGCAUCUUCAGCAGCUGGAAAGAACCUCGGUCAGGGAUGAGCUCGCGGCCUAUCAGCUUGUUGGUGAGGUAACGGCUCACCAAGGCGUCGACGGGUAGCCGGCCUGAGAGGGUGACCGGCCACACUGGGACUGAGACACGGCCCAGACUCCUACGGGAGGCAGCAGUGGGGAAUAUUGCACAAUGGGCGCAAGCCUGAUGCAGCAACGCCGCGUGAGGGACGACGGCCUUCGGGUUGUAAACCUCUUUUAGCAGGGAAGAAGCGAAAGUGACGGUACCUGCAGAAAAAGCGCCGGCUAACUACGUGCCAGCAGCCGCGGUAAUACGUAGGGCGCAAGCGUUAUCCGGAAUUAUUGGGCGUAAAGAGCUCGUAGGCGGUUUGUCGCGUCUGCUGUGAAAACCCGAGGCUCAACCUCGGGCCUGCAGUGGGUACGGGCAGACUAGAGUGCGGUAGGGGAGAUUGGAAUUCCUGGUGUAGCGGUGGAAUGCGCAGAUAUCAGGAGGAACACCGAUGGCGAAGGCAGAUCUCUGGGCCGUAACUGACGCUGAGGAGCGAAAGGGUGGGGAGCAAACAGGCUUAGAUACCCUGGUAGUCCACCCCGUAAACGUUGGGAACUAAUUGUGGGGUCCAAUCCACGGAUUCCGUGACGCACCUAACGCAUUAAGUUCCCC
rnacentral:rRNA from 1 species